rnacentral:lncRNA from 1 species
GGCUAUUAAUUAUCUUUACUUUAGUUAAACUUAUUUUAAAAUAAUUUACUUUAAAUCUUAAUACUUUUAAAAUCAUGACUUACCUAUAAGUUUCAAAAUUCAAACUUUGACGUCUCAAAGCAGAAUUUCUACUUAUAUAGCAAUCAUUAAAUUGAUGUUAUGCCAACGUGGCUUUCUUUGUCACGAUUUGAUUAGAAAUUUCCUACUAUGGUUACUGUCAGGAAUAAGGUCAAAUGUUGCAUAAGUGAAUGUUCCAUAUAUAAUAGAGAGGUCAAUUUGACUUUGGUACUAGUUUGUGCCCUAUAGUUUAUCAAAGUUAAAUUAUUGACGUAAGUUGACCAUGUCAACCAUUGUCCGAAGUUUAUGACUUGUUUGUUCAUCUUUUACUUUCAAACAAAGAUUUAAGUAAUAUUUGUUCUAUCAGAAAGUUAUUUGACCAAAGAAAGUUAGUUUGACCAACGUGAAGUUUACUUGAACUAAAAACUGGACAUGAAAUUU